AUGGACCGCCGCACCUCUCCACUGCCCAAUGGGCAUGUUUGGUUCACGGAAAAACAUCUCCAACUUUUGAAGAUGCAUGGAAAAUGUGAUUUAGUUUAUUCAUUAAAGAUGUGUUAGUUGUGUAUCAUUAUGUUAUUUACAUGUUAUAAAUACAUGUGCGGUACACAGAUUUAUUUGGUGAGAGUAUCUAGCAAUGCUCAUAAUACCACUUUUCUUGCUAAAAAGUUUUCAAAUAACGUUAUUAUACAUGUACAAUAUCGACAUAAUAUUGAUAAUUUAUCUGACUAUGUUUAUCAUCGAAAUAAUAAGACAAUAUCGACACAUAAUAUUGAAAGGGAAGUUUUUCAAAAACUCACAUUAUCGUGA
rnacentral:lncRNA from 1 species